ensembl:lncRNA
CGGGUGCUCCAAAUGUGUUGCCCUGUUUGCCAAGAGAACUACCCACGUGAGGUGAAUGAGAAAUGCUUUUCAUUUUUUCUUUUGGAAGGCAGCGAACCUUGGGAUAAAGUGCGGACUGUGCUAUCUGACAAACUGACUUCUGAUGACAUCUCCACUGUUGAGUUGCAAUCGUAAUAGUUCUAGAUCUUGACUGAGUUACACCUGUAUUUGACCAACUCCUAGUCUUGAUAUUUAAGAUAUUCAUAGGAUUUUCUUACUGUAUCUGUAAAGAAAAAAAAAAUGUUGCUGGCCAUUCCAGUUCUACAAGGAUCAAGUGAUAAGGCAUUGCAGUCACCCACUGACAGGGGAAUUCAGAAUGGAAAAGGAAAAAAAAAAAUUGUGCUUUGGAUAACCCCAGAUGGUUAAGAUACACAUCUAAGGAAAAUUUUCCAUGAUCCUAGAUUCUUGCAUCUUUCCAUACGGAGAAAAAAGCACUAAACUCGUUAAUUUGAGAUGUCUGUUCUUUGUGAUUCACAGUGAUCUUUUGACGCUCAGUUCCAUGGUUUUUUCCAGCAAAUUAUACAUAUAGGUCCCUCAGACAGUAAAAGAAUCUGCCUUCAAUGCAGGAGGCUCAAGUUUGAUCCCUGGGUCAGGAAGAGCCUCUGGAGAAGGCAGUGACUGCCUACUCCAGUAUUGCCUGGAGAAUUCCAUGGACAGAGCAGCCUGGUAGGCUACAGGCUAUGGGGUCACAAAGAGUCAGACAUGACUGAAUGACCAGCACUUUCCUGUUCCACUCCGUACCUCUUUCAAAGCAGUUCUUCGGAGUUAUCUGAGAGGCUAUUUCCCAGACUGUAUCCUCAGUAAGGUCUCGAUAAAACUUAACUCGCAGAUUUUACAUUCUGUGCUUUUAUUUCAGCACCUGAAACAGGAGGCAAGGAGGGUGGGCACAACCUUUGGAAGAAAGACACAGCCAUGAAGACACGGAAAAAACUGGUUAGAACCAAGGGAUCUUCCCUACCCAGAGGAUCAAACCCUGGUCUCCCGCAUUUCUGGCAAAUGCUUUACCCUCUGAGCCACCAGGGAAGCCCAGCACCAUGACAGUUCAUCAGAGGCUAACCAUAAAAGGCCCAAAAUUGGGGGUAUCCCAACUCUUGAAAACUCUCAACCAUUCACUGAAAUAGAAUUAAUUCUUCUACUCCUUCACCUAUGGAAGUAUUCAGCCCGUAAAAACUAACCACCCAAAAUUUCCAGGCCUCUCACCUUCUGAGAGGGUCCACACCCUGUGGAGUGUGUUUCUCUCAAGGCCUAUCUUGCCUUUUGAGAUAGACUGCGUUCUGUCUAUGAAAUGUGUAUCUUUCUAAAUAAAUCCAAUUCUUACCUAUCACUUUGUCUCUCACUGAAUUCUUUCUGCUACAAGAUGUCAAGAGCCUGAGCUUGGGGAAUUCCUUGGUGGUCCAGUGGUUAGGACUUUGUGCUUCCACUACAAAGGCCAUAGGUUUGAUUCCUGGUCGGGGAAGUAAAGGGUAACUGAGCUCGCACACCACUACUAGAGAGUCCAAGGCCCGAAAUGAAAGAUCCUGCAUGAUGCAAUGAAGAUCCCCUGUGCCAAGACAAGACCUGAUGCAGACACAUAAAUAAAACAGGUAAAUAAAAUAUUUUAACAACAACGACAAAAAGACUGCACCUUCAAGCCCCAGUCUGGGUUUUGGCCAGGUUCCAGCCCCAGCCCUUGGUUCAAGUCCCAUCUGAUUUGCAUGGUUUCAGCAAUGAAAUAGAAGUAACUUAGCG